rnacentral:lncRNA from 1 species
UCACUAUAAAAAGAAUAGAAAACAUAAUAAAAAAACACAAUUUGAUGCAAGAGCUCAGCAGAUAGAUCGAUAUAUUUUCGGUUUUCAUAUAAAUUCAACAUAUAACAAGAUAUAAAUAUAGAUCUAAGACAUUAUAACCUCUUAAGAAUUCAUUACCUGUCACGGAGUACUCUCUAAGACAAUCAAAUCAAGAAUGGAUUACCACAUGUAUUAACAAGAAAUUUCAGAAAAGAAAGUGUCUUUUUUCCUUUAUUACACGUACAAAAAACAGAGAAGAGAAGAUCCAGCAAGGUAUUUACGUGACGUCUUAAACCACAACACCAAUGUAAUCAUGUAAGAACUCAGUCCUUCGGUGUGUCCUUCUCUUACAGCUGCAAAUCUUGCUUCACCGGUUUACCUGCUCGUUUGCAUGGGCAAGAGAAUUGAGCAGACUCAGACAAAGACAAGAAAGAGCGUGUGAGAGAGAGAGAGACCAUUCUCAAGAAUGUACUUACCUACGACUUGAAGAUCCUGAUGACAAUAAGAAGCUCCAUGAAACUGUGAACAUGGAAUGUCAAGGCAUUGACAAGAUCACCACAUUUAGCUUGCACAACCCCUCUCCAAGAUGAUCAGGGAAUUUGCGAAAGCCUCCUCGGUCGAGCCCUGAAGAAUCGUCCUUGACAUUGGAUUCUGACGCUUGCAUUGCAGGGGAGAAAUGGACC